rnacentral:lncRNA from 1 species
UUUGGAUCAUUCAUUGACUUGAAGGCCAACAAGGCACCCUGACACACUUGGCAGGGACACUGAAGGGGAACGGCCAAUCAACAUCCAGACCAAUAGACUUGGCAAAGCAGAGAACAAGCUACAGAAGAGGAAAGAUGAACAAUGCUGGCCCUUGUUUGUUGUGGAGCUGGCGUGUGGGAGAGAGGAGGAUAAUGGAAUGCAAUUAACCCAACCCUGGAACAAGGAUGACCCAGCUCCUCCAUCUGACCUGAUAGCCCCAGAGAUUCAAGAUCUUCCUAUAUUUCUCUCAGUUUCAUUGUUAUAAUGUUUUAAUCUCAUCUCUUC